UAAACGUCUCAGUUCGGAUUGCAGGCUGCAACCCGCCUGCAUGAAGCCGGAAUCGCUAGUAAUCGCGGAUCAGAAUGCCGCGGUGAAUACGUUCCCGGGUCUUGUACACACCGCCCGUCACACCAUGGGAGUCGAUAACGCCCGAAGUCAGUGACCCAACCGUAAAGGAGGGAGCUGCCGAAGGCGGGAUGGAUAACUGGGGUGAAGUCGUAACAAGGUAUC
rnacentral:rRNA from 1 species